AAUUGGUUAAAGUGGUCAGAAAUUGCCUCAGAUCGCACAACAGAGCAUCUAGAAUCCAAAACAAAUUUUGACCCUCUUUUGGGGGACACAAAUUGUUUUGGGCCCCCCACAAAAUUGUGUCCUGGGUCCGCCCUUGGAGGGGCGGUUUAAUUUAUAUCAGGGAUGUACACGCAGAGAUAACAAAGGCUGAAAAUUCGACAAAAUAACUUUUUUUACAACUUUUUUUAAACUCGUAAUUUCAUCCUUUGAAAUUAUAAAGCUUUUGGAUUCAAAAAAGUCUGAUUUCAGACCGAAAUUUCCAAGUUCUCAUGCUUAAGUGUUAUGUACCUAAACUGUUCUGAAGAACAUUUUGCUUCAUUAAAAGACAUGUUGAUACAGAAAUGGACCUUCACACUGAUUUAACAGUUUAAACAUGAUUCAAGAUUAUCUUCAAAGGAAACCACUGGUUCUACAUCUUGCACUGCAGUAGCACGGACAAGUUAUUAGUUUUAAAGGCACUAAAGAUCAAUUUUUUAUGUGAAUUUUUUUUUUGAGGCAACUUAAUUCCUCAAAAUGUUACGAAGGGUGCAGUCAUUAACAACUAACUUACUUACGUUUCAGCUCAGUGGAUUUUGAGAAAAACAGAAAACAUGCAAUCUGAGCAAGGAUUUUCUCAUUAAAUUGGAAGGUACAUUUCCGGGUUAUUGCAGAUGUUUCUAUUGUCUUUAAGGUUUAAUUAGAGGAAGAGGUUAGAUUCUUUACAAUUUCAUGUCCUUGAAUAAAAAUAAAGUGACAUUUUGACAGCAUGAAAACACUAUUACAAAUAUGUUGAUGAAUACAGUACAAAAUAAAAAAUGAAACUUUUGAAAGGUAUGUAAAAACUUAUUGUAUGUAAAAACCAUACACAAAAAUAAUUCCUUCCGCUUUAUGUAUUAUCAAAUAAGUUACAAAGAAAUAUACGCUUAAAU